GUCUACGGCCAUACCAUCCUGAACGCACCCAAUCUUGUCAGCUAUGCAGGGUCGGGCCUAGUUAGUACGUGGAUGGGAGACUGCCUGGGAAUAGCGGGUGCCGUAGGCU
rnacentral:rRNA from 1 species